rnacentral:rRNA from 1 species
UACGUAGAUGGCAAGCGUUGUCCGGAUUUAUUGGACGUAAAGCGAGCGCAGGCGGUUCUUUAAGUCUGAUGUGAAAGCCCCCAGCUCAACUGGGGAAGGUCAUUGGAAACUGGGGAACUUGAGUGCAGAAGAGGAGAGUGGAAUUCCACGUGUAGCGGUGAAAUGCGUAGAUAUGUGGAGGAACACCAGUGGCGAAGGCGACUCUCUGGUCUGUAACUGACGCUGAGGCUCGAAAGCGUGGGGAGCAAACAGG